rnacentral:rRNA from 1 species
GCUCAGGAUGAACGCUGGCGGCGUGCUUAACACAUGCAAGUCGAACGGGAUCCAUCAGGCUUUGCUUGGUGGUGAGAGUGGCGAACGGGUGAGUAAUGCGUGAUCGACCUGCCCCAUACACCGGAAUAGCUCCUGGAAACGGGUGGUAAUGCCGGAUGCUCCGACUCCUCGCAUGGGGUGUCGGGAAAGAUUUCAUCGGUAUGGGAUGGGGUCGCGUCCUAUCAGGUAGUCGGCGGGGUAACGGCCCACCGAGCCUACGACGGGUAGCCGGCCUGAGAGGGCGACCGGCCACAUUGGGACUGAGAUACGGCCCAGACUCCUACGGGAGGCAGCAGUA